GACAUGACUCUCGGCAAUGGAUAUCUCGGCUCUCGCAUCGAUGAAGAGCGCAGCGAAAUGCGAUACGUGGUGCGAAUUGCAGAAUCCCGCGAACCAUCGAGUCUUUGAACGCAAGUUGCGCCCGAGGCCAACCGGCCAAGGGCACGUCUGCCUGGGCGUCAAGC
rnacentral:rRNA from 1 species